rnacentral:rRNA from 1 species
AGCGAACGCUAGCGGCGGGCCUAACACAUGCAAGUCGAGCGCAUACCUUCGGGUAUGAGCGGCGGACGGGUGAGUAACACGUAGGUAAUCUACCCUUUGGUGGGGAAUAACCCGGGGAAACUCGGGCUAAUGCCGCACGAGGUCUACGGAUCAAAGCCUUCGGGCGCCAGAGGAUGAGCCUGCGUUGCAUUACCUAGUUGGCGGGGUAACGGCCCACCAAGGGGACGAUGCAUAGCUGGUCUGAGAGGAUGAUCAGCCACACUGGGACUGAGACACGGCCCAGACUCCUACGGGAGGCAGCAGUGGGGAAUAUUGCGCAAUGGGGGGAAACCCUGACGCAGCUACGCCGCGUGGGUGAUGAAGGCCUUCGGGUUGUAAAGCCCUGUCGGGAGGGACGAAUUCUGACGGUACCUCCCAAGAAAGCACCGGCUAACUCCGUGCCAGCAGCCGCGGUAAU